GGGGGCGCGUGGAUUCGACAGGGGAGGUAUGCUGCGGAAUUGCAAGCUGAGGUGCCACUAUCUCAAUAAACAGGUGGCAAAAAACAACUGCCGAAGAUGCAGUUCUAGUUGCUGCCUAGUUAAAUAGGCAACACAUCCAACCAGGCCUCUCCUCGACGGGCCGGGAUUGGGUGACGAUUAGUCGAGGUGCCGCCGCCCCAAUGUCGAUAAGGGCGGUGAAAGAAUAAUCGGCUGGCUUGGCUAAACUCGGUCAGCAGAGGUUAGCCGGGUAAGAUAAAAGAGCUGGCUAAGCUUGUAGUAAAUUCUGGGUAGCUUCUCUUGGACGGGGAGUUCGACUCUCCCCCGCCUCCACCA
rnacentral:tmRNA from 1 species